GCGGAGGAAAAGAAACCAACCGGGAUUGCCUUAGUAACGGCGAGUGAAGCGGCAAAAGCUCAAAUUUGAAAUCUGGUACCUUCGGUGCCCGAGUUGUAAUUUGGAGAGGGCAACUUUGGGGCCGUUCCUUGUCUAUGUUCCUUGGAACAGGACGUCAUAGAGGGUGAGAAUCCCGUGUGGCGAGGAGUGCGGUUCUUUGUAAAGUGCCUUCGAAGAGUCGAGUUGUUUGGGAAUGCAGCUCUAAGUGGGUGGUAAAUUCCAUCUAAAGCUAAAUAUUGGCGAGAGACCGAUAGCGAACAAGUACAGUGAUGGAAAGAUGAAAAGAACUUUGAAAAGAGAGUGAAAAAGUACGUGAAAUUGUUGAAAGGGAAGGGCAUUUGAUCAGACAUGGUGUUUUGUGCCCUCUGCUCCUUGUGGGUAGGGGAAUCUCGCAUUUCACUGGGCCAGCAUCAGUUUUGGUGGCAGGAUAAAUCCAUAGGAAUGUAGCUUGCCUCGGUAAGUAUUAUAGCCUGUGGGAAUACUGCCAGCUGGGACUGAGGACUGCGACGUAAGUCAAGGAUGCUGGCAUAAUGGUUAUAUGCCGCCCGUCUUAA
rnacentral:rRNA from 1 species